rnacentral:rRNA from 1 species
AGCUUGCUAGGAGGCGUCGAGCGGCGGACGGGUGAGUAAUGCAUAGGAAUCUGCCCGGUAGUGGGGGAUAACUUGGGGAAACUCAAGCUAAUACCGCAUACGCCCUACGGGGGAAAGCAGGGGAUCUUCGGACCUUGCGCUAUCGGAUGAGCCUAUGUCGGAUUAGCUAGUUGGUGAGGUAAUGGCUCACCAAGGCCGCGAUCCGUAGCUGGUCUGAGAGGAUGAUCAGCCACACUGGGACUGAGACACGGCCCAGACUCCUACGGGAGGCAGCAGUGGGGAAUAUUGGACAAUGGGCGAAAGCCUGAUCCAGCCAUGCCGCGUGUGUGAAGAAGGCCCUCGGGUUGUAAAGCACUUUCAGCGAGGAAGAAGGCUUUCGGGCUAAUACCCCGGAAGAAGGACAUCACUCGCAGAAGAAGCACCGGCUAACUCCGUGCCAGCAGCCGCGGUAAUACGGAGGGUGCGAGCGUUAAUCGGAAUUACUGGGCGUAAAGCGCGCGUAGGCGGCUUGAUAAGCCGGUUGUGAAAGCCCCGGGCUCAACCUGGGAACUGCAUCCGGAACUGUCAGGCUAGAGU